CUUUGGUACGCGGACUAACUAACAUCAGCCGGUGUACUCACGUGGACCAUUUCUUUGUUCACGUUCCAAGUAUUCAUUGUCUUCGAUUCUUUUUUUUUUUCUCUCUUAUUUUACCAUUCGACGAGUUUUUGUUCCAUUGUGAACGAUCCGGUCUUUCCUUACGAAUCUCUCCCGCAAAAUAAACACCAAGGGGAACUUUCAUGGUCCGCACAGAAGAAAAGCGGUUUAACGCCUUUCUACCAGAGGAUAUUCUUUAACAUUUGUGUACGAACUAUUUGAAUUUGUUCAAGAGUAAAGUGAGACUUUACGCGGAGGGAAGUGGUUUCUUUUUACUAUCAGUGAACACUUGACACUCAAGUUCUGUUUGUUUUUGGAUUGGAUUUGAAAGGUUGGAUCAAAUUUGGAUUUUUAUACACGUCUGGAUUGAUGUUGACCGUUUGUUGACGAGUUAACUCGAACAUGUCAGCCACGAUUUCGAAGAUAUCAGCCAAUAGUUUUGGAAACGGGACCAAUGCAAUUUGCGAUAAGGACCGCGACGUAGAAAAGGGUGAGCUCCAUUCGAACGUAGGCCUCUCAUCGUCGAUCUGUUCACGGCCGACGUCUUCGUCGCGGACGACGACGUCGGCCGAGAGCAGGGUCGAGCUCGAGGACAAAGUAAGGAACAACAACAGCAGGUCGAAUGCAGCUAACAACGCGACGGUGGAAGUGGAAAUCGGCUCGAACAAUGAACCGAUAGGAGCGGGGACGCCGGAGACGACCACGACCACGACGACGACGGCGACGACAACAUCGAAGACGAGAACGCGAACGGGAAGAGGAACGGAAACGAGCGAAACCAGCCGGUGGAAGGCAGUCGGCCGCUUGCUUUGCCGCCUAACACUCAUCAUGCUUCUGUUAGCGAGCCUCGUUGCCUGUUUGGCAUUGCUCGCCAUAUACGCAGGCCCGAUUUUCCUCGUGCAACUUCUCGUCGUUGUUCUCGUCGCGUAUUUAGUAUCCGGAGGACGUUUCCGAUGGUUCUACGUAGCCGCUAAAACAGCGCCUAGAGACAUUUUAGCCAUCUUUCGGUAUAUUAAACUUCUGUGGACAAUUCGUUGCCACGAGAGGAAAAACAGAAGCGUUGCCGAUGUAUUUCGGCAAAAUGUUAAUCGUCAUCCCAAUAAAGUUUGUUUGAUCUGCGAGGAUCUAGAGUGGACCUUUCAACAGGUGGAAGACUACAGCAAUAAAAUUGCAACGGUAUUCAAAAGCCAUGGAUAUCGUAAAGGAGAUGUGGUUGCCAUACUUUUGGAAAAUCGUGUGGAGUACGUACCCCUUUGGCUUGGGUUGAGCAAGCUGGGGGUAAUAGUACCACUUAUCAACACCAAUCUCCGUAAAUCUUCCCUUCUACACAGUAUCAAUGUAUCUAAAUGUCAAGCUCUUAUUUAUGGAGUAGAUUUUACCGAAGCUCUCUCGGAUAUCGCCGACUCGUUAGACCCGAAAUUUUCAUUGUACAGAAUCGGUAAUUUAUCGAACUCCAAAGUAUCGAAAUUAAGUAAUUUAAAUGACAAAGAUUUAGUCGCUCUUAUGGCUGAUGUCUCGCCGGCUCCGCCUGUCCUACAAGAAAAAGGCUGUUAUCAUGAUCAAUUAUUGUAUAUUUUCACCAGUGGCACGACUGGUCUUCCUAAAGCUGCAGUUAUUACAAAUUCUAGGUAUAUGUUUAUGUCAAACGGUAUUUUUAUGAUGGUACAGUUCAAAAAUUCUGAUAGAAUUUAUACACCCUUGCCAUUGUAUCAUACUGCUGGGGGUGUGAUGUCCAUUGGUGCUGCUCUUCUUCAUGGGUCAACAGUAGUAAUUAGAAAAAAGUUUUCAGCAAGCGCCUACUUUACUGAAUGUAUCAAGUAUAACUGUACAAUUGGUCAGUACAUUGGUGAAAUGUGUAGAUAUAUCUUAGCUGUACCUCCGAAACCGGAAGAUAAGAAACAUAACGUUAGGAUGAUAUUUGGUAAUGGUUUGAGACCACAAAUAUGGCCCGAAUUCGUUGAGCGAUUUAACAUUCCUCAGGUUGCGGAAUUUUACGGAGCAACGGAAGGAAAUGCUAAUAUCGUGAAUAUCGAUAACACUGUUGGGGCUAUUGGUUUUGUGUCGAGAAUAAUUCCAUCUGUUUAUCCUAUUUCCAUUUUAAAAGUAAACGAAGAAGGUGAAUUAAUAAGGAAUGCAAAAGGUUUAUGUCAAGUAUGCGAACCAAAUGAACCAGGUGUGUUUGUUGGAAAAAUUAUACCCAAUAAUCCAUCUAGAGCAUUCUUAGGAUAUGUGGAUCAGAAAGCAUCUGAAAAGAAAGUAGUUUAUAAUGUAUUCAAGAAAGGCGACUCAGCAUUUAUAUCCGGUGAUAUUUUAAUCGCUGACGAAUUCGGUUAUUUAUAUUUCAAAGACAGAACAGGUGAUACUUUCCGAUGGAAAGGAGAAAAUGUUUCAACAUCCGAAGUUGAAGCUAUUAUCAGUAAUAUUAUUAAUUACAGAGACUGUGUUGUAUAUGGGGUUGAGAUUCCCGGACUCGAAGGAAAAGCCGGAAUGGCAGCAAUAUACGACGAAAAUUCUACGUUAGACAUUAAUAAAUUAUCGACUGAUUUAAAGGAACAUUUAGCAUUUUAUGCAAUACCUAAGUUCAUCAGAAUUUUAACAAAGAUUGAUCUUACAGGUACAUUUAAACUAAAGAAGAAAGAUCUUAUAGAAGAAGGAUAUGAUCCUAAAAGAAUACAAGAUAAAUUAUUUUAUUUGAGUGAAAAGUCUGGAUUUCAGUUAUUAUCUACUGAAACCUACGAACAAAUUCAACAGGGAAAGCUUCGUUUCUAAGUUAUACCUCGACAAAAAGAAAUAUUGAUUAAACGGGAACAAUUUUUACUCCAACUAUUUACAGCUUGUCAUCAAGGUCAUAUCGCAUUUUAUAAUAACACAACAUAAAAACUGUUUUUAUAUCAUUGUCGAAGCUGAAACUAAGUGAAUAUUUCAAAGGAACAAUUUCUUUGAAACACAAUAUAAUUUACAAAAGCUGUAAAUUUGUACAAGGUACUAAAUCUGAAAUUUUACACAGCAAAAUGCACAAAAUAAAAUACAACGUAUUUUGUAACAUAAAUAUAAUUUUUAGUUCCAAAAUUUAGAAUUGUUACAGACAUGUUAUACUAUUGUACCUAUAUUUUAGUACAUAUUGUUGUUGUUAUACCAUUAUCAUUAAGCAUUAAGUACAUAAAAUAAAUUAUUGUUAAUAAUAUAUUAUUACAUAGAAAAGCUGGCAUAUUUAUAAAAACUUCCAAGAUUAAACUCCGGUGGAAAGUAUAUAUAUUUUACAUCACAUAUAUAAACAUUUUAUCACAUUGAAACAUUCCAUUACAACUGCUAAUACAUUACCGUCCGACUGUAUUUUCUAGCCGUGUUGUGAAAAUUGUUAAAGCAUGAUAAUUUAUUUCAAUGAAUUUUUACAAUAAUUUCAAUUAAAUUACAUAAUAGUAAAAAAAAACAGUUGCUAGUUAUAAAAUGACUAUACUACAUAGAAAUACGAAAAUGUUGUUAGUAUUGUAAAAAUACUAUAAAUAUUUAUAACCAGUGAUCGUUAAAAGAUAAUUCGUUUUAAAUAUUUAAAGUAUUUGAUAGAUUAACUAUAUUUCGUAAUGUUUCGAUCUUUGAGGUUGUCACUACAGACACGUUAUUUAAAUUAUACUUUUUAUUACUGUUAAUUUCAAAUAUUAAUAAACUUAAAAAAAUUAUGAAAUCAAAAA